rnacentral:snRNA from 1 species
GUGCUCGCUUCUGUAGCACAUAUACUAAAAUUAGAAUGAUACAGAGAAGAUUAGCAUGGCCCCGGCGCAAGAAUGACACCCAAAUUUGUGAAGCGUUCCAUAUUUUU